rnacentral:rRNA from 1 species
AUUGAACGCUGGCGGCAUGCUUUACACAUGCAAGUCGAACGGCAGCGCGGGCUUCGGCCUGGCGGCGAGUGGCGAACGGGUGAGUAAUACAUCGGAACGUGCCCAGUAGUGGGGGAUAGCUCGGCGAAAGCCGGAUUAAUACCGCAUACGACCUGAGGGUGAAAGCGGGGGAUCUUCGGACCUCUCGCUAUUGGAGCGGCCGAUGGCAGAUUAGAUAGUUGGUGGGGUAAAGGCCUACCAAGGCGACGAUCUGUAGCUGGUCUGAGAGGCCGACCAGCCACACUGGGACUGAGACACGGCCCAGACUCCUACGGGAGGCAGCAGUGGGGAAUUUUGGACAAUGGGCGAAAGCCUGAUCCAGCAAUGCCGCGUGUGUGAUGAAGGCCUUCGGGUUGUAAAGCACUUUUGGCGGGAACGAAAAGGACUGUGCCAAUACCACGGUUGGAUGACGGUACCCGCAGAAUAAGCACCGGCUAACUACGUG